AAUAAUUCUAUAAUUGACAUCCAAAUCAACAUCUAUAAUUUAAUCAUUACAGCCAAACAAUUCAAGUAAACAAACAUUUGUACAAUUUGGUAUACAAUCUUUCCCAUAAAAAAUAAACACCAAACCCAGUUUCAGAAAAUAUUCCCACUUUUAAAUGAAUCUUAAUGUCUUCAACAUCGACCAAGCAAACUCCAACAAACUGCCGAUCGUAUGGGCAUGCUUAUGUUUAAGUUCCAGUUGCUGCAAGAUGAACUGAAGCAAUUUUGAUCCCUGCGAGGCAAUCUUUGAGUACAAGCACUACACUAUUGGAAAUUUUGGGAACAAAAAUGCAUACUAGAGAAUACACAUGAACUCAAAACAAUGUUAUUGCAAGGACUAACAUUGCAAAGAAAAUUCAUCAUCCAAAAUCAGCCAAAUUAACCAAUUUAUUAUUUACCAAAGAGAAGUCAAUCAAUUUGAUUUGUCAGUGAUAAAUUCAUCAUUCAAAAUCAGCCAAAUUAACCUCCAACUUCGAUUUUAAAGAACCCAAAUUUUAGUUAGGUCAAAGCCCAAGGCAUUGAGAGAUCAAUUUCCAUUUUUAACUAUGCAUAAUAAAUGGAAAAGCCAAUAAAUCAAGGAAUAAUAAGGAGCAACGAAUUUAAUUUUCAAAAUCAAACAAGUUAUUUUCGUCUUGGGCACCAAGCAGGGAGUAGCUAGCUCCUCAAACUUUCUUCUUAGUUUCUUUCGGCUGGGUUCUGUCUUCCAAUGGCUUUCAGAGCUGCUCUGCUUCUGUUGGCCAAUUUGCUUUUAGUCUCUACUAAGUGUUUUAUCUAACAAUGAGGAGGAAUAUCUGCUGGAAAAGGAUGCUACUUACCCCAAAACCCCAGUACCUGCACCAGCUCCUCCUAAGGCUCCAGUUAAGCCAAUCACUCCACCACCAGUAGUGAAGCCACCCACCACGUAUCCACCACCAGUGAAGCCACCCACAACCACUCCCCCAGUAGUGAAGCUGCCAACAGUUGCACCAGCACCACCAGUGAAGCCACCAACAGUUAUGCCAACCCCACCACUCAAGCCACCCCCCACUUAUCCACCACCAGUGAAGCCACCCACAACCACUCCCCCACCAGUGAGCCCACCCAAAACAGCUCCUGCCCCCCAAGUUCCCUCACCAGCAUCUUCACCAAUGCCUAUUGUGAGGUCAAACAAAGAUUGCAUCCCACUAUGUGCAGCAAGAUGCAAGGCACAUUCAAGGCCAAACAUUUUUGGAAGAGCUUGCACUACAUGCUGUGUUAGGUGCAAAUGUGUUCCACCGGGAACUUAUGGCAACAGAGAGAAGUGUGGCAAGUGCUACACUGGGGGCAAUAAACCCAAGUGCCCCUAAGUUAUAAGUAUUAGCAUCUGUUGAAAUUUUAUGUUAGCUUAAGUUGACCUGCAAUAAGUGUUAAAGAGUAAAUGUUUUUCUAGUGACUUUCUGUGUCACUGUAAGAUUGUGCAUGUAGUGUGUUAAGCCAUGGCUGAUCUACUUCUGUUAGUUUCUUGCUAAAAUUUCCCUUGUUAAUCCUGGACAUUCAUAUAUAAAGUAGUGUAUUUUCAGUUUCAAAAAAGAAGAAGAAGUUAUUUUCGUCUUUACCUUCUUCACCAGAGCAACGAUGAGCGGUGGAUUUCUUCAAAACUAAAAUGAUUUUGGGAAAUUGAAUAGCCAAGUUUCAACAUUACCUUCUAGAAAACUUCCAAAUAAUUCGGGAGUUUCUUGUCAUUGUGAUUAAUUAGAGAACUUUUCCCUUUUUCUAUGCAAAAAGCAAGAUAGAAUCAACAAUAAAAGAACACAAAUGCAAAAUAAAGAUUUGUUACCGGGGCCAAUAAAGAGUAUGCAAGAGGGCACAACCCAUUAACACCAAUGUAACUUGGAGGUGAAGAAGGAAAUGGAGUAAAUUGACCACCCACUUCAAGCUCCCCAGUCACCCUUCCCACGGUUGCACCAGACCUC
rnacentral:lncRNA from 1 species